UACGGAGGGGGCUAGCGUUGUUCGGAAUUACUGGGCGUAAAGCGCACGUAGGCGGCUUUGUAAGUUAGAGGUGAAAGCCCGGGGCUCAACCCCCGGAAUUGCCUUUAAGACUGCAUCGCUAGAAUUGUGGAGAGGUAAGUGGAAUUCCGAGUGUAGAGGUGAAAUUCGUAGAUAUUCGGAAGAACACCAGUGGCGAAGGCGACUUACUGGACACAUAUUGACGCUGAGGUGGCGAAA
rnacentral:rRNA from 1 species